rnacentral:rRNA from 1 species
GACGAACCGUCCUAACGUUGUUCGGAAUCACUGGGCUUAAAGGGCGCGUAGGCGGGCCAUAAAGUCAGGGGUGAAAUCCUCCAGCUUAACUGGAGAACUGCCUUUGAUACUGAUGGUCUCGAGUAAGGUAGGGGCAUGCGGAACUGAUGGUGGAGCGGUGAAAUGUGUUGAUAUCAUCAGGAACUCCGGUGGCGAAGGCGGCAUGCUGGACCUUCACUGACGCUGAGGCGCGAAAGCUAGGGUAGCGAACGGG